CGAACGUUAGCGGCGCGCUUAACACAUGCAAGUCGAACGGGUAAGCUACUUUAUUUUCCGCAAGGGAGACGGAGCAGCUGAAAGUGGCGAACGGGUGAGUAACACGUAGAUAACCUAUCUUCAAGUGGGGGACAACUCUUCGAAAGGGGAGCUAAUACCGCAUAAGACCACGUCUUGUAAGGGGAUGGGGUAAAAGUUGGCGACACCGCGAGGUAGCGAACGCUUGGAGUUGGGUCUGCGGCCCAUCAGCUAGUUGGUAGGGUAAAGGCCUACCAAGGCGAAGACGGGUAGCUGGUUUGAGAGGAUGAUCAGCCACACUGGAACUGAGAUACGGUCCAGACUCCUACGGGAGGCAGCAGUGGGGGAUAUUGCGCAAUGGGCGAAAGCCUGACGCAGCGACGCCGCGUGAGUGAAGAAGGCCUUCGGGUUGUAAAGCUCUGUGGGAAGGGAAGAAUAAACGAAGGCGAAUAGUCUUUGUGAUGACGGUACCUUCAGAGGAAGCACCGGCUAACUCUGUGCCAGCAGCCGCGGUAAGACAGAGGGUGCAAACGUUGUUCGGAAUUACUGGGCGUAAAGGGUGCGUAGGCGGUGAAGGAAGUCUGAUGUGAAAGCCCUGGGCUCAACCCAGGAAGUGCAUUGGAAACUCUUUGACUAGAGUAUCGGAGGGGUUGACGGAAUUCCCGAUGUAGAGAUAAAAUUCGUAGAGGUCGGGAGGAACACCGGCGGCGAAGGCGGUCAACUGGACGAAUACUGACGCUGAGGCACGAGAGCAUGGGGAGCAAACAGGAUUAGAUACCCUGGUAGUCCAUGCUGUAAACGAUGAAUGCUGGGUGUUCUGUGAAUUGAUCAUGGGGUACCGAAGCUAACGCGAUAAGCAUUCCGCCUGGGGAGUACGGUCGCAAGGCUAAAACUCAAAGGAAUUGACGGGGGCUCGCACAAGCGGUGGAGCAUGUGGUUUAAUUCGACUAUACGCGAAGAACCUUACCUGGGCUAGAAAAUGCAAGAAUCCUGUAGAAAUAUGGGAGUGCUUUUCGGAGAAUUUGCAGUUAGGUGCUGCAUGGCUGUCGUCAGCUCGUGUCGUGAGAUGUUGGGUUAAGUCCCGCAACGAGCGCAACCCUUGUUCUUAGUUGCCAGCGGUAAGGCCGGGCACUUUAAGGAGACCGCCAACGUGAAGUUGGAGGAAGGGGGGGAUGACGUCAAGUCCUCAUGGCCCUUAUGUCCAGGGCUACACACGUGCUACAAUGGUCGGUACAAAACGCAGCGAACCCGCGAGGGGGAGCGAAUCGGCAAAAACCGACCUCAGUACGGAUAAGAGUCUGCAACUCGACUCUUUGAAGAUGGAAUCGCUAGUAAUCGCUGAUCAGCAGGCAGCGGUGAAUACGUUCUCGGGCCUUGUACACACCGCCCGUCACACCAUGGGAGUUUUUUGCUCUAGAAGUAUUUGAGCUAACCUUGUAAGAGGGGGCAGGGUACCAAGGAGUGGAAGGUAACUGGGGUGAAGUCGUAACAAGGUA
rnacentral:rRNA from 1 species